AUACGGAGGAUGCAAGCGUUAUCCGGAUUUAUUGGGUUUAAAGGGUGCGUAGGCUGUGGGGAAAGUCAGGGGUGAAAGCCCGGCGCUUAACGCCGGAACUGCCUUUGAUACUUCUCCGCUGGAAUACGGAUGCCGUGGGAGGAAUGAGUAGUGUAGCGGUGAAAUGCAUAGACAUUACUCAGAACACCGAUUGCGAAGGCAUCUCACGAAUCCGUCAUUGACGCUGAGGCACGAAAGCGUGGGGAUCAAACAGGAUUAGAUACCCUGGUAGUCCACGCAGUAAACGAUGAUAACUAACCGUCGGCGAUACACAGUCGGUGGCCAAGCGAAAGCGAUAAGUUAUCCACCUGGGGAGUACGUUCGCAAGAAUGAAACUCAAAGGAAUUGACGGGG
rnacentral:rRNA from 1 species